rnacentral:rRNA from 1 species
UACGUAGGGUGCAAGCGUUAAUCGGAAUUACUGGGCGUAAAGCGUGCGCAGGCGGUUGGGUAAGACAGAUGUGAAAUCCCCGGGCUUAACCUGGGAACUGCAUUUGUGACUGCACGGCUGGAGUGCGGCAGAGGGGGAUGGAAUUCCGCGUGUAGCAGUGAAAUGCGUAGAUAUGCGGAGGAACACCGAUGGCGAAGGCAAUCCCCUGGGCCUGCACUGACGCUCAUGCACGAAAGCGUGGGGAGCAAACAGG